ACAAUUGCCAGCAGCUGAUAGGAUGGAUGAUGUCAUGUGUGGGUCCAGAGGCCACAGAGGACACUGCCAUCCCUCCGGGCAAACAGAAAACAGUGGCACACAGCAAGGGGCAGUGGGAAGUCCCAGCGUACCUCAGUCCUCAGGGCUACCGAGCUCUCCCUGCCCUCUCCCCUCAUCCUUCCAACACUGGAGGCACUCACCAGGGUCUGAUCCAGGGACUGGUCCCCUGAGCUGCGCCACAUCCGCCCGACGGAACCCUGCACAGCCCAGCUGAGGAAUUCGGCCCCUCCACCGCUGUGGACUGGGAGGGAGGCACUGCCAGAACGUACAGGCACAGAAAAGCAGGUUCUGCCACCUUUGAGAAUGAAGUCAACAAAAAAGGCAAACACUGAAACUGAAAACAAAUUGCAACAAAGCCUGAUACCAAGUGACUUCAUAUCCUUUUUUCAAAACCUCAACUGAGGACCUGCUCCUUGAUUUUAAAGAAAGGGGAAGGGAGGGAGAGAAACAUCGAUUGGGGGCUUGUCGCAUGUGCCCCGACCAGGGACGGAACCCACAACCUUUGGUUUAUAGGAUGACACUCAAACCAGCUGAGCCACACGGGUCAAGGCGUGACUUCAUAUCCUUAACAACCAUAUAUAUAUCCUUAGUAGGAUGUACUCUAAGGGCAAAAACUAAGUGCAAAGAAAUAAAAUGUUAAUCAACAGCUUACUGUUAGAACACUGGUAUUAUCUUUUGGACACUGUUUUGAGUAUAUUGUGGGAUAGAGUGAAUAAAUAAUUAUAUGAAUAUAAGAAAUCCAAAGUUGAGCUCAAGAGAAAAGAGAUACAGCAUACAGUCAAAUACAUUGAUUUUGAUUUAGAAAUAUCAAUAUGGACUCAUGAAGUCUGAAAAUAUAUUUCCUAGGUCUGCACUGAAAAGGCCUAUAAAAAACAGUCACCCAGGAACACUGCAAACAGCGCAGCACCCAGACCUUGGCUUCUCAGCAGCCACCUUGGUAAUAGAAACCAGGGCACCCUGGACGCGGGGUCAAAGAGAGCAUCAGGCGGCCCAGCGUGCUCUUGUCACGCCAGAAAGCAAGCGAGCUGGAAGGCCUUCCAAGGCCAUGGGGGUCACACCCAGAGGACCGGAGGCAGCUAGGGGGUUCCCACAGGCCAAGUUUGAGACAACUUGAGCAUCAAAAGCCACAGGGGCUACAAUUUUACACACAAAUAAAUUAAGAUCUACAAGUCUAUACACAAGAAUGAAUGGAAAUAAAAAAAAAGCUACAGGGGUGGUCGGACAAGCCCAGGUUGGCACAGACGGCUUGAAGGUGUUGAGGGGCUUUCCCAGCACCAAGUCCUGAUCUAGGACGUACGUCUCCCAAGGACACAACUGCUGUGCAGGGAUGGGUUACAUUUACCACGCCUUCGUUCACACAGGAGAAGUAGGAGUUACCUGAGUAUCUCACUGAAGAAGAGCAGCCACAGAAAACAGUUCCAUGCAAUAGGACAAAGUACGGCUAGGGCGUGGCAAAUAGAUGCUUAUUUGUUGAGAAGAAAAAACAUGCAUGGCAUUCUGUUGCUGGGUGGGGGGAAUCAAAUUAUAACAAUAGCUCAUACAGAUAAUACUGUACCAUUUUAAAAAAUAUGUAUUUGUAAAAAUUACGCAAAGACAGCUAUAAUGAUGUGCACAACAAAAUGAAUCUUUUGCUUGUCAAAUUAUGAUC